rnacentral:rRNA from 1 species
UCGUGAGACAGGUUAGUUUUACCCUACUGUAAAUAUUAUUAAGAAAAGUUAUAUAGUACGAGAGGAACAAUAAGUGAUGACCACUGGUGUAGCGAUUAAUUAUUCAAUUAUGUUGCAAAACUACGUCAUGAAUAAUAAAUGCUGAAAGCCUCUUAAGCAUGAAGUUAAUCUUAAUGAUAUACAACUGAGGAAAACUACCUCUUUGAAGAAUGGGACUGUAAGAAUGAAGGUGUAUACCGACAUUUUGAGGUUACCAUUUCGUUUUAUGAUAAUUUACCUUCUCGUGGUAUAAAACGUAUGACAUAGUCCAUGUCAUCUAAAGUAAAAAAGGAUAGAAUGUUUUUGUUGAGAGAUAGGAAAUUAAGUACUUCUCGUCUUACAUACUGUUUUCAUUAUUUCACACUGUUCAUAUUCAUUUAUAUUUUGACCAUUACAUAAAGACAUUCAUUAAUAUUCUAAUUUUCUAUAUAAUAGUAUUAUCGUACAGCACAAUAACAAAGUACUUCCUUUGACACCAGGUUGAUUCUGCCUGACGUAGACGCUAUA